CCUACGGGUGGCAGCAGUGAGGAAUAUUGGUCAAUGGACGAGAGUCUGAACCAGCCAAGUAGCGUGAAGGAUGACUGCCCUAUGGGUUGUAAACUUCUUUUAUAUGGGAAUAAAACGUUCCACGUGUGGGAUUUUGUAUGUACCAUAUGAAUAAGGAUCGGCUAACUCCGUGCCAGCAGCCGCGGUAAUACGGAGGAUCCGAGCGUUAUCCGGAUUUAUUGGGUUUAAAGGGAGCGUAGGUGGAUUGUUAAGUCAGUUGUGAAAGUUUGCGGCUCAACCGUAAAAUUGCAGUUGAAACUGGCAGUCUUGAGUACAGGAGAGGUAGGCGGAAUGCGUGGUGUAGCGGUGAAAUGCAUAGAUAUCACGAAGAACUCCGAUUGCGAAGGCAGUUCACUGGACUGCAACUGACACUGAGGCUCGAAAGUGUGGGUAUCAAACAGGAUUAGAUACCCUGGUAGUC
rnacentral:rRNA from 1 species